rnacentral:siRNA from 1 species
CGAGUUCACACGUGCGAGGUCAA